CAAAAGUAAUGCAAUAAUGUUAGUAAUAAAAUUUGAAGUGAUUGAUUCGUGUUAAGUGCUAUCCUAAGUAAUUCACAUUUGUUAAGUACUUUAGCUGUUAGAGACUUCCCUGGUGGCUCAGACGGUAAAGAACCCGCCUGCAAUGCAGGAGACCCAGGUUUGAUCCCUGGGUCAAGAAAGUCCCCUAGAGAAGAGAAUGGCUACUCCCCUCCACCCCUAGUAUCCUUGCAGUAUCCUUGCCUGAAGAAUCUGAUGGACAGAGGAGCCUAGUGGGCUGCAGUCCAUGAGUUCACGAUGAGUCAGAUAUGACUGAGCAACUAACUUUUUAGAUAUGAGAACAAUCUACUGAGAGUUCAAGGGGCAGGACACGUCGUGACAGGACAGGAAUCCUUUUGUGGUCGGUGGGCAAAGGCAGUGAAGAGCCAGGUCAGCUCUCCUCUCUGUGGUUGCUGGUUUCAUCUCGCGGACCCAGACCCGGUAGCGUACGGAGAUGCUCCACUCAGCUGGGAGACCUCACGGUGCAUGCAGGGACUUGUUCCAGCAGAGAUCCAGAAUGCAACGUUUCCGGGUCGAGUUGGACAGGAAAGGAUUUAAAUCGAGGUCAUGAGGCUGAGUCACCAGCCCAUACCGAAAGAACCAACAGGAGUCAUUGCAAGCUGACGUAAUUUAUUCUUUCUGGAUAGAACCACAAGUCUCCUCACAGCCAGGCACGGAAAUUGAUGGUCCCACAAGGAGCAAGUUUAGGAAGGAAGGGAACAGUUUCACCUAUACUCAUCUAGAUAUGGGGCUGAACUUUGAGACUAAUUAUCUCCUCUGGAAGCCUGCUAAAACAGGAGGCACAGGCCAGAGCUCAGAGAUUCACUAAUCUCCCUGGAAAGGAGAGAAAUGUCAGGAAGACAGUCUUCCAGAGAAAAGUAACAUCCUCUCAGGAAACAAUGACAAGCAUGGGAACCACUUCAAUCAAGUUUUAAUACAAUGCCCUUCUCCUUCUCAAAGUAGAUUUGGGAGGUUUCCAGAAUAAACUGAUCAUCCUUGGAGAAUAAAUUAAACUUUGAAUUUUUCCAAUCCAGGUCAGCUUUCCUCCAUGCUGGGUCCUGGUGAGGGUUUUACUGUAGAGACCAGGAGGACCCUCCAAUUCAGAAUUGUCCUCCAGAAGAGCUAUCACUGGAUCAUUUACCAACAACAAAGUCUGAAAUCUGAGCCUAUUUGAAGAGAGAGUGUUUCUGAAAGACUGGGGUGUCAUCAAUAAUAGGUGCUCCAAGCGUGCAUGGAGGCUGUUUCUUUCCUGAGUACCACCCAAUCCCAGGAAAGUCUUGGGAUGAUGACUACUUGCCUUCCUUCAGGCACAGAACUAGACACAGGAUGCAACGAUGAAUAAGAUAGGCCUCGCCCUCCAAGAUCUUGUAGAUGCGUAGGGAAGACACGUGUAGAAAUAGGCACAGGGAAGUUUCCUGGUGGUCCAGGGGCUAAGACUCUGUGCACCCAGUGCAGGGGCCCAGGGUUUGAUCCCUGGUCAGGGAACUAGAUCCCACAUGCCACAUCUAAGACCCAGGGUAGCCAAGUAAAUAAACUAAUUUUUAAAAAACAGGCAAAAUCAGAGUACCAUGCUCAAUGAUUAAAGCAGGCAGCCAGGCCUGAAGAUGAGAGAAAUGUCGUUGCUGCUCUCUGUGGUGGAAAAACAGCGUAAGGAAAAGGAGACUUAAAGAGCUGCGCUUUAAGGAUGGACAUAAGUUCCAUCCUUUGGAUGGUCAGGUCCACCCAUUGGAUUCCAAGUUUGUGUCUAGAAUCCUGUCCUGAGCUACCUCUUCACCAAAAAGACAGAGUAGGUAUCUCCUGUGUGGCAGAAAAUUAACACUUGCAUUCAUAGAGCUGAGAUUCACUGGUCCUAAGAUUAAAG
ensembl:lincRNA